rnacentral:rRNA from 1 species
CCUACGGGUGGCAGCAGUGGGGAAUAUUGCACAAUGGGGGAAACCCUGAUGCAGCAACGCCGCGUGAGUGAAGAAGUAUUUCGGUAUGUAAAGCUCUAUCAGCAGGGAAGAAAAUGACGGUACCUGAGUAAGAAGCCCCGGCUAACUACGUGCCAGCAGCCGCGGUAAUACGUAGGGGGCAAGCGUUAUCCGGAUUUACUGGGUGUAAAGGGAGCGUAGACGGCGAUACAAGUCUGAAGUGAAAGCCCGGGGCUCAACCCCGGGACUGCUUUGGAAACUGUGUUGCUGGAGUGCUGGAGAGGCAAGCGGAAUUUCUAGUGUAGCGGUGAAAUGCGUAGAUAUUAGGAAGAACACCAGUGGCGAAGGCGACUUACUGGACUGUAACUGACGCUGAGGCAUGAGAGCAUGGGGAGCAAACAGGAUUAGAUACCCCAGUAGUC